rnacentral:rRNA from 1 species
UACGUAGGGGGCAAGCGUUGUCCGGAAUCAUUGGACGUAAAGCGCGUGUAGGCGGCCCGGUAAGUCCGCUGUGAAAGUCCAGGGCUCAACCCUGGAAUGCCGGUGGAUACUGUCGGGCUCGAGUCCGGAAGAGGCGAGUGGAAUUCCUGGUGUAGCGGUGAAAUGCGCAGAUAUCAGGAGGAACACCAAUGGCGAAGGCAGCUCGCUGGGACGGUACUGACGCUGAGACGCGAAAGCGUGGGGAGCAAACAGG